AGGAUUAUAUAUAAGUGGCAGAGCAUAUGCGUAGGCAUUAAGAGCCUCUCAUGAAAUUUUAUUUUCUUAUUUUUC
rnacentral:tRNA from 1 species